ensembl:lncRNA
UACUGGAGCAGGUCCAGAGAAGGGCAACAAGGCUAGUGAAGGGCUUGGAAAAUCAGCCCUAUGAGGAGAGGCUGAGGGAGCUGUGGCUGUUUAAUCUGGGGAAGAGGAGGCUGAGGGGAGACUUUAUUACUCUCUUCCAGUACCUGAAAGGUGUUUACAGUGAGAGCGGGGUAGGUCUCUUCUCACUGGUGACAGGUGACAAGAGGAGGGGAAAUGGCCUCAAGUUGCACCAAGGUUUCCAGGGUAGGACUGAGCAGCUGCUCUGCUGCUGUCUGCUGCAUAAACACCAGAGGGGAUUGGAAGAAGAGUCAUAAAACCAACUGAGGAACAUCUUAUUCACCUAUGCAAAGGGUGCUAUCCCACUAAGACUACUGACAAAUAACAGUGAAACAAGUCUGCAGUUUCACAAAAGCUCAUUUCACCAAGGACUGAAGAAGAAAGCAAGUUAGUAGCUAAGUCAUUAUUAAUUCCCUUUGGCUGCUACUAAACUCUGGCAUCAAUGAGAAGGAGCCAAGAAAAAUCCUUGGGAAUAGAGAAUGUCUGGUUACAAUCAUGAUGCAGGUGCCUAAUCUGUCACAUGAGAGUCCGAGACAAAAUUUAAAUGAUUGAACUCACUCGCUGAAAAACGAGACUUGAGAUUGCAAGUUAACUAUAAAAGCUCUACUACAAAAUUAACUACAAUCAGUGGGCCAUUGUAAGAAACAACAGCAGAAGAACGCAUUCAAAGGAAACUAUGCAUAUCAUUACCCUGAGUUGAUUUUCCUUUUGCUUUAGGGAUUCACUAAGUCAACUCUCUGCCUGCCUGAGUUAAUGACCAUUCAGCAGCUUAUCCCUCCAGCUGCUAAGACCUCUCAAACCUAGAAUCCCUUUUUGACUAUAGCUGGCCAACUGAUCCCCAGAAUUGUAGAAAUCAUUACAAUUUUCCAUAAUAUUUAACUUUAAACGGUGCCUGGGCAGGAUUCUACCAGUUGCUGAUUCACCUGGAAGUAUUUUCUUCAUCUAUACUGAGUGGUUGGAAUUGGAGAGGGGCGAUGCUGUAAAGUCUACAGGACAUUAUAAUAAAGAC